GGAUGCGAUCAUACCAGCACUAAAGCACCGGAUCCCAUCAGAACUCCGGAGUUAAGCGUGCUUGGGCGAGAGUAGUACUAGGAUGGGUGACCUCCUGGGAAGUCCUCGUGUUGCAUUCC
rnacentral:rRNA from 1 species